UACGUAGGGGGCAAGCGUUGCCCGGAUUUAUUGGGCGCAAAGCGCUCGCAGGCGGCUCGAUGCGUCGUGCGUGAAACACCCCGGCUCAACUGGGGAGGGUCGUGCGAUACGGUCGGGCUGGAGGCCAGUAGGGGGAUGCGGAAUUCCGGGUGUAGUGGUGGAAUGCGUAGAGAUCCGGAGGAACACCAGCGGCGAAGGCGGCAUCCUGGACUGGUCCUGACGCUCAGGAGCGAAAGCGUGGGGAGCAAACAGG
rnacentral:rRNA from 1 species